UGGGGAAUAUUGCACAAUGGGCGAAAGCCUGAUGCAGCGACGCCGCGUGAGCGAAGAAGUAUUUCGGUAUGUAAAGCUCUAUCAGCAGGGAAGAAAAUGACGGUACCUGACUAAGAAGCUCCGGCUAAAUACGUGCCAGCAGCCGCGGUAAUACGUAUGGAGCAAGCGUUAUCCGGAUUUACUGGGUGUAAAGGGAGCGUAGGCGGCAGGGCAAGUCUGAUGUGAAAACCCAGGGCUCACCUUGGGACUGCAUUGGAAACUGUUCGGCUGGAGUGUCGGAGAGGCAAGCGGAAUUCCUAGUGUAGCGGUGAAAUGCGUAGAUAUUAGGAGGAACACCAGUGGCGAAGGCGGCUUGCUGGACGAUGACUGACGCUGAGGCUCGAAAGCGUGGGGAGCAAACAGGAUUAGAUACCC
rnacentral:rRNA from 1 species